UACGUAGGUCCCGAGCGUUGUCCGGAUUUAUUGGGCGUAAAGCGAGCGCAGGUGGUUUAUUAAGUCUGGUGUAAAAGGCAGUGGCUCAACCAUUGUAUGCAUUGGAGACUGGUAGACUUGAGUGCAGGAGAGGAGAGUGGAAUUCCAUGUGUAGCGGUGAAAUGCGUAGAUAUAUGGAGGAACACCGGUGGCGAAAGCGGCUCUCUGGCCUGUAACUGACAUUGAGGCUCGAAAGCGUGGGGAGCAAACAGG
rnacentral:rRNA from 1 species